rnacentral:sRNA from 1 species
CGAGCGCGUGCGGCGGCCCGAGCACAUGGGGGGAAAACGGGCUUGGGCGAGCUGCAUCGCAAACUGGAAAUGGGUGACCGUGCCCCUCCAGACCCUUCACUGCGUCUCUUUUGGACCUCCGCUCGGGAAGGGAUUUUAGCAGGUCGAUGACCUUUGGAUACAGGGUCGGAUUCACCCUCCA